UUUGAUUUAAACUGCCUUUUACUACAAGUACAUCAUGUCUGAUGCACUGGUGGUGUUCUGAUAUUAGACUUGUCAUGUUUUAUCAUAUCUUUGCCUAUUGGAGUACUUAAUGAUAUGCCUAUCUGCUCUCAAAAUCACUGCUUGUUUGGAUAAAAACGAGUAGCAUAAAUUGAAAAAUUAAGAUAAUUUAUUAAUUAUGCAUAAGAUUCCUAAAAUGCUAAUAACCUGGGGGAGGGGAAAAGAGUGGACUAGAGUUAGCCUUUUAAAAUCCAAAGUCUCCUAACAAGUUGUAAGUAUUGUGGAAGUCCUAUCAUUUAAGAAUGCUUUUUUUUGUGGCUAUAGACUGUGUGGCCUUUGCCUUCUCUGGCACAGGCAGUAUCUUCCAUUCCUCUUCUAUUCACCAAAAUGUUUCUGGUGUUUCAUAUUCACUUUCAGUGUUGCACCAUGUCCUGGUUUCAUUGGGAUAGAAUCAUAAACUCAUUUUUCUAUUCAGGGAGGAAGCUACAUUUUGGAGAAGACCACAGCAGCACCCGGUUCAGUGGGAAUUAUUUUGAUAAGAUGCUUUGUUUUAGUUUGUGGCCAGCCAUGGUAUGCAGGUUUCCAUAGUGAUCAAGGUCUUUAGCAGUUCUGAGCCAUUCAGAUGCUCAAGUGAGGAGGAGCAAAAGCCAGGGCAGCUCACCCACACUGGCCACCAGAAUUCUUUCAUACCGUCAACAUCAGUCCCUAUAAACUGCAAAGUUUGCUGAGGACUGGGCUCUUCCUCAAUGUCUGCUAUCCCUGGAGGGUCUCACCUGUCCUUCAUCUCCUGAGGCCUGCUCUUCCUCUGCUCUUCGGUUGGUUUUGGCCAUCAUGCUUUUGCUGGAGCUGUGGUGAUUGCAGUGUUUGAUGAGUAUAACUGUGUGUAAUUUAUAUUAGUGUUGGUAUUAGCAUUUUAAUUAUUUUAUGAAACCUGUUUCCAUUUCAACCUGAUGGGUCUCCUUUGCUUUUCUUGACUGCCAUUCUCAGGUGGGGAGGGGUCACUGGGUGAUAGAAUAACUGACUAACCGAAGACACCCCAUCAUCCCCAGAUGAUAAUGCUGAAUCAAAUUGACUCCAUCCUGCCUUACAACUGCAGCAGUUUCCACCCAGAGGGAGGGAAGGAUUUUACAAUGCAGAUGUCCACACACUCCUUGACUGUACUGCCUGAGUGCUACGGGAAACAGAGCUGCUUCAGUGAUGUCAGGAAGAUGGACAACAGCUGCUCUGGCCAACACAACUCCAUCCAGCAAAUCAGGUCACUGAGACUUCUGUGUCAGAAACUGGUGGAGGAGCUGAUCCCAUUUCUGGUGUUGGGUACCAUGGGCUCAGAUGAGGUGCUGGAGUAAGGGGAUCAGAAUCUGAAGCAGUAAGUUAUCCAUCAGAAAUUCCUUGUGUCCCUCGUAUUCCUGGAGCUCUCAGGCCUGGUUCUGGCUUUAUUACUCUAAGUCUCUCAUUUAGGCUUUGGGCAUUGGAUUCUUCAUCUGUUGCUUCAAGGUAUAUAACA